rnacentral:rRNA from 1 species
UACGUAGGGUGCAAGCGUUGUCCGGAAUUAUUGGGCGUAAAGAGCUCGUAGGCGGUCUGUCGCGUCGGCUGUGAAAACCCGGGGCUCAACCCCGGGCCUGCAGUCGAUACGGGCAGACUAGAGUGCGGUAGGGGAGACUGGAAUUCCUGGUGUAGCGGUGAAAUGCGCAGAUAUCAGGAGGAACACCGAUGGCGAAGGCAGGUCUCUGGGCCACUACUGACGCUGAGAAGCGAAAGCAUGGGGAGCGAACAGG